ensembl:processed_transcript expressed sequence BB218582
GUUAUUACUGUCUGAUUUGAUCGGAGGCAGGGGGUGGUCUCCAAUCAAACAGAGAAAAGGUCCUGGAGAAGAUGUAUCUUUAAAGCUGUCUUGCUGAAUUGGAAGUCCCUGGAGGGCAGAACUGGCACCCUGUUCAAUCUGGAAUGCCCAGAAAUUCAAUCAACAGAAGUCAGUAUUGAUUUCACACUCUCCUGGACCCUUAUUUGAGUCUCUGUGUGGUGGCCCCUCUCCCCGGAAGUGAAGUCUUCCAGACCACCAACUUCUGGUGAGAUUCCUAACACUACCAACCUCAGGAGUACAGAGCCCAGAGAAAGUCCAUUGGGGUCCAUUUUCAGGAUGGUGCAUAUGGGAACAAUAAUUUAUGAACGACAAAGUCUCUCACAAUACAGAGUGCAGCAUUUUGACCAUAGUGGUUGGGCAGCCAGCCCUUGGGAUUCUCCCAAUCUUCCCAGAUGCGGGGUUAUUCAUUUGAGUAUUCGAACCCAGCUCAGUUCAUCAUGAGCCAUCUUUUCCCAAUUGAGUACUCGAAAGAAGAAAACUGGGCUAGAGAAACAGGAUCUCGGAUGAUUGUAAUUGAAGAGUGUCUAUUGCUCCAGAGCCACUAUCUAUGAGCUAGAAGACAGCUGGGACAGCAAAUUCUUGACUUGCUUAUCAUCAUGUUCCCUUUCCAUGGUCAGCCCAGACUCUGGGCUCCAUUACAACAUACUAGUCUGUUCAGCAUGGAGUGCCUUUUUUGCCUCUUCUAGUCCAGCCAUCCAGGCAAAUUAAUCAAUACACUAAGUGGCAAUUCAUAAGUGACCCUUCGUGUCAACCUGGAGAGCAGGAGGGACACCCAGCUUUCUAAGGAGAGCUUCUCCCUCUAACCCGAGUAAGCAUCUUCAUCCCAGCUACAGAAAAUAGAAGGCUGUAGAAAAGAACAGGAGACUACCCAUGCUUUCAACCUUAUUUUAAAGUAAUUAUAUGAAAAAAGUCUGUGUUUAUAAACUAAUAAAUUAUACACUUUUAAAA